rnacentral:rRNA from 1 species
GAUGAACGCUGGCGGCGUGCCUAAUACAUGCAAGUCGAACGCAUUGUGGUUGAAAUGAUAUGAAGAACUUGUUCAGAUUUGAUUUUCAACAUUGCAAUGAGUGGCGAACGGGUGAGUAACACGUGGGAAACCUACCUCUUAGCAGGGGAUAACAUUUGGAAACAAAUGCUAAUACCGUAUAAUAUUAAAACCGCAUGGUUUUAGUUUAAAAGAUGGUCUUGCUAUCACUAAGAGAUGGUCCCGCGGUGUAUUAGUUAGUUGGUGAGGUAAUGGCUCACCAAGACAAUGAUACAUAGCCGAGUUGAGAGACUGACCGGCCACAAUGGGACUGAGACACGGCCCAUACUCCUACGGGAGGCAGCAGUAGGGAAUCUUCCACAAUGGACGAAAGUCUGAUGGAGCAACGCCGCGUGUGUGAUGAAGGGUUUCGGCUC